UGUGUAUUCAUUCACUUUUCGUGGAAACCAAUAUUUGUGAUUAGAAAAAUUAUUUUAUAUCUCAUCCUGUGUUGCGUUUUCAUUCAAGCGUCAAACAUGCUACUCAACUCUAGAGUUGAUGUGAACCGUGCUAUUCAGUCGCAGGACUUUACAUAUUUGAGUUGAUUUAAAAUAAUAUAUAAGUAAGCAAUGAAUGUCAGUCACAUGACUUCAAAUAUUUGGGUUGAUUUAAAAUACAUAUAAAUGCAAUGAAUGUGACUGUUAAAUUUUAUGUAUGCUUUUUGUCCCUCUGUGUUGAAUGUUUGUUUGUUUUUGUUCUUAUUGAGAUUGUGACACAGUAAUGGCUGCUAUGCUCCUGUUUUGACAAUUUUACCUAUUACAUCUGUUUUGCUCACGCAUCGUUAUAAAUAUAAUGGAAAUUGAUGCGACUGUCAUACAAGUGAGAGGUUUAGCAUUAUAAAACCAGGUUCAAUCCACCAUUUUAUAUACAUUGGAAAAAGCCUGUACCAAGUCAGGAAUAUGACAGGUGUUAUCCAUUCAUUUGAUGUGUUUGAGCUUUUAUUUUGCCAUUUGAUUGGGGACUUUCCAUUUUGAAUUUUCCUCAGAUUUCAGAAUUUUUAUGAUUUUACUUUUUGAAAUCAAUGAUGAUACAAAUUCGUAUAACUUUAUUGAAUUGUGACAUAAUAUUAAUAAUGCCAGUCUGAAAAAUCUGAAUGCUUAUUUUACAUGAAUUACAUUAAGAUAUGAAGAAUUGAUUGGUGUGUCGCAUGAUUGCCUAUUAACCAAUCAGAUUACAAGGAUCAAAUAAAAUAUCUUACCGAUGACCAUUGUGUUUUAAAAAUUAUAAAAGAUUUUCUUUAGAACAUAGGUUACUAUAAAAGUAUAAACAUCCUAGAUAAUCCUUCAUUAAGGUGGUACCUAGCACUACAGGGAGAUAACUCUGUAAAAUCAGAUAAAUGUUUUAAUUACGUUGUGUUGAUAAGGUAACAUUAAGCUUCUCAAUUAUCAAAAUAAGUGUUUGUCAAACUGCUAUAUAACCAGUGUAAUUUUUCUGAUAAAAUGAUUGGUUCAAUUUUUUUGAAAUUUUUAUAUUUUUGUCAAAGGGUCAAUAUAAAAUUGAGAAUGGAAAUGGGGUACCGGUACUUACUUUGUCAAAAUUUUAUGUGAAAAUUAAAAGAACCAAAUUAAUUUUAGUGAAGGUGUUGGGUACUACUUUAAAUAUCAAUUGCAUUCAAGAGAGGCUACAAUGUUAUAUUCUGAUCAGGUGAAUAUGUAUAUAUUCAAGCAAUAUUCUUUCAUAUAUAUUUAAUCUUUAUUGAUUAUCAUACAGUUUUUAUAAAUAAAAAUAAUACUCAGGGUAGAUCCAGGAUUUGAAGAAAGUGGGACGGUUAUUGUCCAUAAUGGUGAAAAUGGUUCUGGGGUUGGAACCCCCUUUUUUUGGACGAUCAAUUCAUUUGAAUGGGACAUAUAGUUGGAAACCCCCCCUUCUUUGUCCUUGGUUAGGAAACCCUUUUUAAAAUGGCUGGAUCUGCCCCUGAAACUACAGCUAACAUUGAACCAAAGUUUUUUUAUUCCUUACUUACUUUGAAUGAAAAACAUUUAAUCAAAUAAGAGAUAAAAAAAUUAAGGACAAAAAUGUUGAAGAAUCAGAGGAAAUUGUAAUAAUAAUUCAAUGAGUGAUACUGGUCUUAUGAGUACCUUAUGAGUAUGAAUCCAAACUGAUAGCAAUGAAAUAAGUCAUGAAUCUAAUACUAAGGUAAUACAACAAUGGUUGUUUUAUAAAAAAGGCUCACUACAAAAGCAACAGGAUUCAAAUUCAAGCAAAACUAUACUUACAACAAUUAGGAGAUAACGGUAUUGUAUUUUAUUUAAUGGUUGCAAAUUAAAUUUCCUGGGGAAGCGUUAGCGGAGAUAGUAAACAGGUAUUUGUGACCAUCAAAUUGUAGCCGUUGGAGCUUAAAAUAUAAUAUUGUUAUCUCCAUUCUAAUGCAACUUACAGAAAACAACAUUAAAACAUGUAUUUAAAAUCUGUCAUAUAUUGUCAGGGGUUGUGUGUAUGUUUCAUAGCAUCAAUUGUCAAUUGAUGUCAUGAAAAUUAGUGACGUUAUCCAAUCAAAUUGAACAUUACAAACUUUGUAGCAUUAGAAUCAACAAUGACUACAUUAAUCAAUAUAUAUAUAUAUAAUUACCACAGAUUUCACCAAAUUUGCAAUUAUCAUGGAAAGCACUCAUAUCUAAAUUAACAACACAUGGAUCUUCAGCUUUCCAUAAUUUUAUUUGAAAUACUGAACUGACUCAUUUUUUUCUCUCAUUAAAUUGAUAUGAAUGUGUUCCUAAAAUAACAUUUUCUUUAAACAGGAUCUAUAAGAUAAUUUCUAUUACUGUAAAUUCAAAAAUUAUUGCUAGCAUUUAUUAU
rnacentral:lncRNA from 1 species